GUCUACGGCCAUACCACCCUGAACAUGCCCGAUCUCAUCCGAUCUCGGAAGCUAAGCAGGGUCGGGCCUGGUUAGUACUUGGAUGGGAAACUUCUGAGCAGGGUCUUGCUAAACU
rnacentral:rRNA from 1 species